AACGAACGCUGGCGGCGUGCCUAACACAUGCAAGUCGUGCGAGAAAGUCACUUCGGUGGCGAGUAGAGCGGCGCACGGGUGAGUAACACGUGGGUAACCUGCCCUCGAGUCUGGGAUAACCCGGGGAAACCCGGGCUAAUACCGGAUACGGCCGUGAGGUCUUCGGAUCUCGCGGAGAAAGGCGGCGCGCCUUCGGGAGCUUUCGCUCGAGGAUGGGCCUGCGUCCCAUUAGCUAGUUGGUUAGGUAACGGCCCACCAAGGCAAAGAUGGGUAGCUGGUCUGAGAGGAUGGCCAGCCACACUGGAACUGAGACACGGUCCAGACGCCUACGGGAGGCAGCAGUGGGUAAUUUUGGGCAAUGGGCGAAAGCCUGACCCAGCAACGCCGCGUGUGGGAUGAAGGCCCUCGGGUCGUAAACCCCUUUCGGGAGGGAAGAUGGGAUAGGGUAACCUAUUCGGACGGUACCUCCAGAAGCAGCCACGGCUAACUUCGUGCCAGCAGCCGCCGUAAAAC
rnacentral:rRNA from 1 species